rnacentral:rRNA from 1 species
CGAACGCUGGCGGCGCGUUUUAAGCAUGCAAGUCGAACGGUAAUGAAGUCUUCGGACUUUAUGAGAGUGGCGAACGGGUGAGUAACACGUAGGUUACCUAUCCUGGGGAUGGGGAUAGCCCAUGGAAACAUGGGGUAAUACCGAAUAAGCCCGAUACUGUAGUGGUAUUGGGGAAAGGCGCUUUGGCGCCGACCUAGGGUGGGCCUGCGGUCUAUUAGCUAGUUGGUAGGGUAAGAGCCUACCAAGGCGACGAUAGAUAGCCGGCCUGAGAGGGUGAACGGCCACACUGGGACUGAGAUACGGCCCAGACUCCUACGGGAGGCAGCAGCUAAGAAUCUUCCGCAAUGGGGGAAACCCUGACGGAGCGACGCCGCGUGUGUGAAGAAGGCGGAAACGUUGUAAAGCACUUUUCUUGCUGAAGAAUAAGGGUGUGAGGGAAUGCGCAUCUGAUGACGUUAGGCAAGGAAUAAGCCCCGGCCAAUUAC